AACUCGGCAAAAUGACCCCGUAACUUAGGGAUAAGGGGUGCCACCAUCAGGUGGCCGCAGAGAAUAGGCCCAAGCGACUGUUUACCAAAAACAUAGGUUUCUGCUAAGUCGCAAGACGAUGUAUAGGCGCUGACGCCUGCCCGGUGCUGGAAGGUUAAGGGGAUCUGUUAGAGCAAUCGAAGCAGUGAACUUAAGCCCCAGUAAACGGCGGCCGUAACUAUAACGGUCCUAAGGUAGCGAAAUUCCUUGUCGGGUAAGUUCCGACCCGCACGAAAGGCGUAACGAUUUGGGCACUGUCUCAACAACAGACUCGGUGAAAUUGUAAUUCCGGUGAAGAUGCCGGAUACCUGCGACAGGACGGAAAGACCCCAUGGAGCUUUACUGUAGCUUGACAUUGGGUCUUGGUACUACAUGUACAGGAUAGGAGGUAUGAUUGGAGACCAGGACGCCAGUUGUGGCGGAGACAUACUUGGGAUACCACCCUU
rnacentral:rRNA from 1 species